rnacentral:rRNA from 1 species
AGUGAACGCUGGCGGCGUGCCUAAUACAUGCAAGUCGAACGGAGUGGCGCACGGGUGAGUAAUAUAUAGCUAAUCUGCCCCUUGCUGGAGGACAACAGUUAGAAAUGACUGCUAAUACUCCAUAGCAAGGGAUGAGACUAUAUCGUAUCAGCUAGUCGGUGGGGUAACGGCGUACCGCGGGUAUGACGCGUAACUGGUCUGAGAGGAUGAUCAGGAAAAUUGGAAGUGAGACACGGUCCAAACUCAUACGGGAGGGAGCAGUAGGGAAUAUUGCGCAAUGGGGGAAACCCUGGAGGAGCAACGCGGCGUGGAGGAUUACACUUUUCGGAGCGUAAACUCCUGUUGUUAGGGAAGCGGUACCUAACGAAUAAGCACCGGCUAACUCCGUGCCAGCAGCCGCGGUAAUAC